GGAAUGUAGCUCAGUUGGUAGAGUACUUGCCUCUACAGUACAUGAACAAGGUCCUGGGUUCAAUCCCCAGCACCA
rnacentral:tRNA from 1 species